GAUGAACGCUGGCGGCGUGCUUAACACAUGCAAGUCGAACGGAAAGGCCCAAGCUUGCUUGGGUACUCGAGUGGCGAACGGGUGAGUAACACGUGGGUGAUCUGCCCUGCACUUCGGGAUAAGCCUGGGAAACUGGGUCUAAUACCGGAUAGGACCACUUCUUGGAUGUUGUGGUGGAAAGUUUUUUCGGUGUGGGAUGAGCUCGCGGCCUAUCAGCUUGUUGGUGGGGUAAUGGCCUACCAAGGCGUCGACGGGUAGCCGGCCUGAGAGGGUGUACGGCCACAUUGGGACUGAGAUACGGCCCAGACUCCUACGGGAGGCAGCAGUGGGGAAUAUUGCACAAUGGGCGCAAGCCUGAUGCAGCGACGCCGCGUGGGGGAUGACGGCCUUCGGGUUGUAAACUCCUUUCGCUAGGGACGAAGCGUUUUGUGACGGUACCUGGAGAAGUAGCACCGGCUAACUACGUG
rnacentral:rRNA from 1 species